rnacentral:rRNA from 1 species
GAGUUUGAUCCUGGCUCAGGAUGAACGCUGGCGGCGUGCUUAACACAUGCAAGUCGAACGGAACACCCUAGAAGGAGUUUUCGGACAACUGAUAGGACUGUUUAGUGGCGGACGGGUGAGUAACGCGUGAGUAACCUGCCUUGGAGUGGGGAAUAACAGUUGGAAACAGCUGCUAAUACCGCAUAAUAUAUCUGGGUCGCAUGGCUCUGGAUAUCAAAGAUUUAUCGCUCUGAGAUGGACUCGCGUCUGAUUAGCUGGUUGGCGGGGUAACGGCCCACCAAGGCGACGAUCAGUAGCCGGACUGAGAGGUUGGCCGGCCACAUUGGGACUGAGACACGGCCCAGACUCCUACGGGAGGCAGCAGUGGGGAAUAUUGGGCAAUGGGCGCAAGCCUGACCCAGCAACGCCGCGUGAAGGAAGAAGGCUUUCGGGUUGUAAACUUCUUUUCUCAGGGACGAAGCGAGUGACGGUACCUGAGGAAUAAGCCACGGCUAACUACGUGCCAGCAGCCGCGGUAAUACGUAGGUGGCAAGCGUUAUCCGGAUU